rnacentral:rRNA from 1 species
CACUCCUACGGGAGGCAGCAGUGGGGAAUUUUGGACAAUGGGCGAAAGCCUGAUCCAGCCAUGCCGCGUGCAGGAUGAAGGCCUUCGGGUUGUAAACUGCUUUUGUACGGAACGAAACGGCCUUUUCUAAUAAAGAGGGCUAAUGACGGUACCGUAAGAAUAAGCACCGGCUAACUACGUGCCAGCAGCCGCGGUAAUACGUAGGGUGCAAGCGUUAAUCGGAAUUACUGGGCGUAAAGCGUGCGCAGGCGGUUAUGUAAGACAGUUGUGAAAUCCCCGGGCUCAACCUGGGAACUGCAUCUGUGACUGCAUAGCUAGAGUACGGUAGAGGGGGAUGGAAUUCCGCGUGUAGCAGUGAAAUGCGUAGAUAUGCGGAGGAACACCGAUGGCGAAGGCAAUCCCCUGGACCUGUACUGACGCUCAUGCACGAAAGCGUGGGGAGCAAACAGGAUUAGAAACCCUAGUAGUCCCAUG